UUUACUUAGAGUUUGAUCCUAGCUCAGGGUGAACGCUGGCGGCAUGGAUAAGGCAUGCAAGUCACGGGGACCGCAAGGUAACCGGCAGACGAGGUAGUAAC
rnacentral:ncRNA from 1 species